AUUGAACGCUGGCGGCAUGCCUUACACAUGCAAGUCGAACGGCAGCACGGGAGCUUGCUCCUGGUGGCGAGUGGCGAACGGGUGAGUAAUACAUCGGAACGUACCCAGGAGUGGGGGAUAACGUAGCGAAAGUUACGCUAAUACCGCAUAUUCUGUGAGCAGGAAAGCGGGGGCUCGCAAGACCUCGCGCUCUUGGAGCGGCUGAUGUCGGAUUAGCUAGUUGGUGAGGUAAAAGCUAACCAAGGCGACGAUCCGUAGCAGGGCUGAGAGGAUGAUCUGCCACACUGGGACUGAGACACGGCCCAGACUCCUACGGGAGGCAGCAGUGGGGAAUUUUGGACAAUGGGGGCAACCCUGAUCCAGCCAUGCCGCGUGAGUGAAGAAGGCCUUCGGGUUGUAAAGCUCUUUCGGCGGGGAAGAAAUGGCAACGGCUAAUAUCCGUUGUUGAUGACGGUACCCGCAUAAGAAGCACCGGCUAACUACGUGCCAGCAGCCGCAGUAA
rnacentral:rRNA from 1 species